rnacentral:lncRNA from 1 species
UUCCCUUCCUAGUUUCGUUUUUAACCUCAGAAUUUCAAGAUAAGCUACCCACAGUCCUAGAUCUAAGAGAUAGCAUAGUGAAAAAGGGAUACUACCUUUGAUUUGGAUUUUGAUUUGGUUUGAGAUUGGCUCGAUCCCGUUUGCCCUUCUUUCUUCUCUCAAACUCGGUCCUGGAUGCUGUGUUACGGGUUGAUGGCCGCCGCGACUGGAUUGUGUGUUGAUGAUUCUGUUGGUUGAAAAUUCACUGCUGGCUUUGUGUGUUUUGGUUACAGGUUUGAUGAUGAUUGCUGGAUUCGCCGGAAUUCGGUGAUGUUGCUUUGAUGGGUUUCGACGGUCACGGUGGCGAACCCUUGGUGUUGCGUACGGUUGAAUCGGUUCUUCUCUCUGGCUUUCCGUGUGCGCCCUGCUGUGUGGCUUAUGUGCGUUCUGCCGUGUUGAUGCUAUGUUGCGAUUCCGUUUCCUCUAUUGUUCCUGUGUUUUGCUGUAUUUCCUGUGUGUUUUCUUGGUUGUUUUGCAGGUUGUAUUUAUAAUGUGGUUUGGAACUAGGGUUUGUUGCUGAUGAGCAAAAAAGCAGUGGCUUGGGGGAGGAGAAAGGGGAAACGCGCUGUUGACAGCCUGUUUGGAUCUGCUUCAGAUGAGGCGCGAGUUUGUUUGGGUUGGAUGAGGAUGAAACACGCCGUGACAGCCUGUUUGGAUUUGCUCCAGAGGAAAAAACGGGUGCCUCUUGUUAUUUGCUAUGAAUCUGGACCAUUUUGGACGUUUUUGAGACUUUGGACAAUUUCGGGACUUAAAAAAAAAAGAAAAAUAAUAAUAAAAUAAAUAAUAAAAGGAUAACAUCUACAUUUUUGGUUUUAAAUAAAAAAGAAAAAAUUUUAAAAUGGGAAUAAAAGAAAUUUAAUCUAAUCUUGGACUAAAAUUAAAAUUAGAAUUUUAAACUAAAAAUUUGAAAGAUGGAAAUAAAUAAUUAAAGACUGAGAGAAGAGGGCCCGAUUCGGAACUUUAUGAGGUAUUUUAAAAUACCUCCCUGCCAAAUUUUUCACUGAAAUGUUAAAGUCUGAUCAGGGUCAAGUGACACGUGUCGGUGGGAUCUUGGGUCAAAAAUUGGGGUAUGACAAUCCUGAUAAAGUCCGGGCCAUCCGAGAGAUGCCAGCUCCACAGACCGAGAAGCAAGUCAGAGGUUUCCUCGAACGAAUGAAUAACAUCUCCCGAUUCAUAUCUCACAUG